UCCAUUGCUUGGGUCUUUCUUGUAUUUCAAAUAUACUGGAAAACAUGCUGAAUGAUUAAAAUGAUUCCUAGACCAACUCAUCUAAAUGCUAGCAUGCAAAUGGAUUGUGUUUGUCACUGUUGAAAAAUCUACCUUUAAUAACUGCUGGAAUGAAUUUACUGUAGCAGUGAAAGUCUAGAGGGGCAGUUCUCUUGCUGUCACAGAUCGACUUAAAAGACCAGAGAGACACGCAGGAAGACAACGAACAGUUCUGUGCAUAUUUAUGGACUUGUUGUGCAUGUGGAAACUUCAAUGAAGCAUUUUAUGGUAUGACGAUAGUGCAAUAGGAAGAACUUGUAUUCAAGAUGAUUAGACAACCACUAACAUAAGGCACUACUGAAUUUCUCAACCCUACGGGCAACAGAAAUGGCAGAGCAGAUUUUAGGGAAAUUUUACACAUUAGUACAUAAACAGUCUGUCAAGAAAUCGCACCCUUCAGAUGUCUGCCUCUGACAGUCUUCAAGACAUUAAAAAAAUCAUAAAUGUGAUUUGCAAUAGAGACAUUUACUAGCCUUAAUAUACAGAGACUGUCAUCACUAGGCAAAUCCAGGAAUGUCAAGUGAAGAUUAUUAGUCUGAAAUACCCAUGCAGCAGACUGGUACGUGUGGCUGUAUGUAACCCAAAAAGUCAUGAACUUCUCUUCUCAAUGACCUGUUUGAUCUUUAGCCCACAAUCCCUUCUAGUAUGGCCCUACAUGCUUUGACAAUGUGUAGACAUAACUGUAAAAAGGAAAAGCAGGGGUCUAUGAAAAGGGUCAGUAAAA